rnacentral:rRNA from 1 species
CAGCGCCACGAGUGGCAAUCACAUUUAUUGGGCCUAAAGCGUCCGUAGCCGGUUUAACAAAUCUUUUGUGAAAUCGUUAAUUUGAAUUUAACGGCGUGCAAGAGACACUGUUAAACUUGGGACCAGGAGGAGUCAGAAGUAUUUUCGAGGUAGCGGUAAAAUGUUAUAAUCUCGGAAGGACUACCGGUGGCGAAGGCGUCUGACUAGAAUGGAUCCGACGGUGAGGGACGAAAGCCAGGGGAGCAAUCCGGAUUAGAGACCCGAGUAGUCC